AACCUCCGCAAUGUGAGAAAUCGCGACGGGGGGAUCCCAAGUGCCAUUCUUAACGGGAUGGCUUUUCAUUAGUGUAAAAGAGUUUUUAGAAUAAGGGCUGGGCAAGACCGGUGCCAGCCGCCGCGGUAACACCGGCAGCUCUAGUGGUAGCAGUUUUUAUUGGGCCUAAAGCGUCCGUAGCCGGUUUAAUAAGUCUCUGGUGAAAUCCUGUAGCUUAACUGUGGGAAUUGCUGGAGAUACUAUUAGACUUGAGCCCGGGAGAGGUUAGAGGUACUCCCAGGGUAGAGGUGAAAUUCUGUAAUCCUGGGAGGACCGCCUGUUGCGAAGGCGUCUAACUGGAACGGUUCUGACGGUGAGGGACGAAAGUUAGGGGCGCGAACCGGAUUAGAUACCCGGGUAGUCCUAACUGUAAACGAUGCGGACUUGGUGUUGGGGUGGCUUUGAGCUGCUCCAGUGCCGAAGGGAAGCUGUUAAGUCCGCCGCCUGGGAAGUACGGUCGCAAGACUAAAACUUAAAGGAAGU
rnacentral:rRNA from 1 species